rnacentral:rRNA from 1 species
UACGGAGGGGGCGAGCGUUAUUCGGAAUUAUUGGGCUUAAAGGGCGCGUAGGCGGCUGUACAAGUCAAAGGUGAAAUCCCUCGGCUCAACUGAGGAACUGCCUUUGAAACUGUACGGCUUGAGGCCGGGAGGGGGUAGCGGAAUUCCCAAUCUAGCGGUGAAAUGCGUAGAUAUUGGGAGGAACACCAGUGGCGAAGGCGGCUACCUGGACCGGUUCUGACGCUGAGACACGAAAGCGUGGGUAGCAAACAGG